AGAGUACGUGAAACCGUUCAGGGGUAAACCUGAGAAACCCGAAAGGUCGAAAGGGGAAAUUCAUUCGCGUUUCGGCCGUCGGCGUUGGAUGGUCGAGUGACGGAUGGCGUACGCGUCGUCCGCGCCUUCCUUCCUUCGAACCGGCGUCGAACGCGUGCACUUUUCCCCUAGUAGGACGUCGUGAUCCGUUGGGUGUCGGUCUAAGGCCUGCGGUGGAGCCCGUGUUGACGUUUCGGCGUUCGCUCGGACCCGCGGUGUCCCGGCCGACUCGCUCGACGGUAUACAGAUGGCGUGGGGCCGCUACUCAGUUAGCGUUCGGCCUGCGGCAAGCACGCUCGGUGUUUGACGGCGAUCGGACCUGGUGCCGGUCCUGUCCCCGAACGACUGUUGGCCGCUGUGUUCUCGAACAGACCUCGUUUGAAACGCCGAUCUGCGACGCUAUAGCUUUGGGUACUUUCAGGACCCGUCUUGAAACACGGACCAAGGAGUCUAGCAUGUGCGCGAGUCAUUGGGACAUAACUAAACCUAAAGGCGUAAUGAAAGUGAAGGUCCGCCUUGCGCAGACCGAGGGAGGAUGGGCGGUUCGCCCUCAAAGCGGCCGCUCCGCACUCCCGGGGCGUCUCGUUCUCAUCGCGAGAAGA
rnacentral:rRNA from 1 species